rnacentral:lncRNA from 1 species
GUUACGCGGUGGAGUUGUACUUCGACCCGGCGCUGGAGAACCAAGUGCUGAAGGCGUGGAACGUGCUCGCCCGCCGGCAGAUCAGCACGCAGCUCAUCGAGAUGGCCGCCCGCCCCCACCUCACCCUCCUCUCUGUCCCCACCCUCGAUCCCCUUCGCCUCCACGCCGCCCUCCGCUCCCUCGCCGCCCGCCUCGAUCCCCUCCCCCUCACCCUCUCCUCCGUCGGUGCCUUCCCUUCCUCCUCCUCCUCUUCCUCCUCUGACGCAGGCGUUCUCUUCCUCGCCCCCAC